rnacentral:lncRNA from 1 species
UCUCGUGUCUCAGCAAGUGUUAAGUCGUGACCUACUCAUGCAUUUUUAUUUCCCUCUACUCCCCGGUGAGUUCCCAGAGUCUCUGUCCCAUUGAGUGUAUUACUCAUAUCGAUUUCCAGUUUCUCCUGAUUUCUUUUUCCUUUGUGGACAUAUAUCCCCAUAAAGUAUUACCCUUUUGCAUUCAUACAUUUGCAUCAUGAGGUCUCUUAGGGACCAAAACUCGUUUCUUU